rnacentral:pre_miRNA from 1 species
GUGAGGUAGAAAGAGGAAGAAAUUGUUUAAGAGCGGUGAGAAUGGGAACAUGGAGGAAACCCCGAGCUAUCCGUCUGCACCUCUGUAACCAGGGGUGGUUAUUUGUCUUAGUGUUUCCCCAUGCCUCCCAUUCUUAUUGUUCUUAGGUUCUCCUUCCCCUUCCUUUUACAU